GGAUGAGACCAUACACCUCUGGAAACACUGGUUCUCGUCUGAUCACCGAAGUUAAGCAACGUCGGGUCCAGUUAGUACUGGCUUAGUUGACCGGCUGGGAAUAACGGGUUUGAGGCCGUUCC
rnacentral:rRNA from 1 species